ACUUUUUGAAUAACUUAAAAGACAGUCGUUCAGCUCUAAAACUGCACUAAAAUGCAAUUUUAUCAAAUCUUGUUCGUACUCAUUUCAAUAAGCUUCUGGGGCGAUUCUCAAUCACAAACCAUUAGAGACGAUGCUCUAUUCCAACGAUUAGGAACUUACACUUUUGCAAACGUCGAAAAAACCUACUGGGUAUCUCAUCUCAUUAAGGCAGAGUGGCACCUAACGCGACCUAUAUGUAAAGCACAUGGUUUCGAUAUUGUCACCAUUGAAACACUGGAAGAAUGGCAAGUUCUCGCUGAACUGUGUGAAGCCCGUAGAGAAUUGUUCGGAUGGUUCGUUCACAUUGGCGGUGUAGCUACUAGCAGUAGGUCAAGGACAAAUUGGUACUGGGUUGCCAAUAAUAAACAAAUUUCGGAUCAACUGCCUUGGCAAUAUGGACAACCUGAUUUUUCUGGUGGCAAUGAAUGGUGUUUAACGUUGGCUUCAGGUGAAGGGUUUAAAUUGAAUGAUCUUUCCUGUUAU